rnacentral:rRNA from 1 species
UACGAAGGGGGCUAGCGUUGCUCGGAAUCACUGGGCGUAAAGGGUGCGUAGGCGGGUCUUUAAGUCAGGGGUGAAAUCCUGGAGCUCAACUCCAGAACUGCCUUUGAUACUGAGGAUCUUGAGUUCGGGAGAGGUGAGUGGAACUGCGAGUGUAGAGGUGAAAUUCGUAGAUAUUCGCAAGAACACCAGUGGCGAAGGCGGCUCACUGGCCCGGUACUGACGCUGAGGCGCGAAAGCUAGGGGAGCGAACGGG